UACGUAGGGCGCAAGCGUUAUCCGGAAUUAUUGGGCGUAAAGGGCUCGUAGGCGGUUUGUCGCGUCGGGAGUGAAAACCUCGGGCUUAACUCGGGGCUUGCUUUCGAUACGGGCAGACUAGAGGUAUGCAGGGGAGAACGGAAUUCCUGGUGUAGCGGUGAAAUGCGCAGAUAUCAGGAGGAACACCGGUGGCGAGGGCGGUUCUCUGGGCAUGAUCUGACGCUGAGGAGCGAAAGUGUGGGGAGCGAACAGG
rnacentral:rRNA from 1 species